GGUGUUGUAGCUCAGUGGUAGAGAGCACUUGCCUCGCAUGCAUGAGGCCCUGGGUUUGAUCCUCAGCACCA
rnacentral:tRNA from 1 species